GACUCAGUGAAAUUGAACUCGCUGUGAAGAUGCAGUGUACCCGCGGCAAGACGGAAAGACCCCGUGAACCUUUACUAUAGCUUGACACUGAACAUUGAGCCUUGAUGUGUAGGAUAGGUGGGAGGCUUUGAAGCGUGGACGCCAGUCUGCGUGGAGCCGACCUUGAAAUACCACCCUUUAAUGUUUGAUGUUCUAACGUGGACCCGUGAUCCGGGUUGCGGACAGUGUCUGGUGGGUAGUUUGACUGGGGCGGUCUCCUCCUAAAGAGUAACGGAGGAGCACGAAGGUUGGCUAAUCCUGGUCGGACAUCAGGAGGUUAGUGCAAUGGCAUAAGCCAGCUUGACUGCGAGCGUGACGGCGCGAGCAGGUGCGAAAGCAGGUCAUAGUGAUCCGGUGGUUCUGAAUGGAAGGGCCAUCGCUCAACGGAUAAAAGGUACUCCGGGGAUAACAGGCUGAUACCGCCCAAGAGUUCAUAUCGACGGCGGUGUUUGGCACCUCGAUGUCGGCUCAUCACAUCCUGGGGCUGAAGUAGGUCCCAAGGGUAUGGCUGUUCGCCAUUUAAAGUGGUACGCGAGCUGGGUUUAGAACGUCGUGAGACAGUUCGGUCCCUAUCUGCCGUGGGCGCUGGAGAACUGAGGGGGGCUGCUCCUAGUACGAGAGGACCGGAGUGGACGCAUCACUGGUGUUCGGGUUGUCAUGCCAAUGGCACUGCCCGGUAGCUAAAUGCGGAAGAGAUAAGUGCUGAAAGCAUCUAAGCACGAAACUUGCCCCGAGAUGAGUUCUCCCUGAGACUUUAAGUCUCCUGAAGGAACGUUGAAGACGACGACGUUGAUAGGCCGGGUGUGUAAGCGCAGCGAUGCGUUGAGCUAACCGGUACUAAUGAACCGUGAGG
rnacentral:rRNA from 1 species